rnacentral:rRNA from 1 species
AUUGAACGCUGGCGGCAUGCUUUACACAUGCAAGUCGAACGGCAGCGCGGGGCAACCUGGCGGCGAGUGGCGAACGGGUGAGUAAUAUAUCGGAACGUACCCAGGAGUGGGGGAUAACGUAGCGAAAGUUACGCUAAUACCGCAUACGUCCUAAGGGAGAAAGUGGGGGAAUCGGCAAGACCUCAUGCUCAUGGAGCGGCCGAUAUCUGAUUAGCUAGUUGGUGAGGUAAAGGCUCACCAAGGCGACGAUCAGUAGCUGGUCUGAGAGGACGACCAGCCACACUGGGACUGAGACACGGCCCCAGACUCCUACGGAGGCAGCAGUGGGGAAUUUUGGGACAAUGGGGGCAACCCUGAUCCAGCAAUGCCGCGUGAGUGAAGAAGGCC